CACCCAUCUCAGAUGUCGUCACGCUCUGCC
rnacentral:piRNA from 1 species